UCCCAUACCCUAGCCUCCAUAGCCUCCCUCGUCUUUCUUUUUCUUUUCCUUUUCUUUUCUUUUCAGAUCUGCAGCCGACCGCCGAUCGCCUCGGUCGUCAUCGUCGGCGCUGCGUGACCCUCUGCCCAGCGACGUGUGAUCCUCUGCCCAGCCCUCCUCGUGCCCUUGUUUUCCAGCCGUCGCGUGACCCCUGCCUUCCAGCUGUGUGUUCCAAGUCGCCCCAUACUCCAAUCUUUCUUGCAAUCUUGUUUCGUUUGGUUCGUGCGUCGUGGCCUCUAUUUCAUCGUAAACUGACAAAGUGGUAUUGAAGGUAGCGCUUAAAUCCCUUGAACGCACAACACAUUUUAGAUCUUGGUUGAAGUUCGAUUUCGCUAAUACUCAAGAUAUUUUUCGUGGACCUUAGUUGAUUAAGGAGCUUCCCUAACUCGAGGUAAGGGACUUUCUAUUGGACUCACCUAAAGUUUUUGAGUUGUGUUGGAUUGUAUGGAUGAUGAUUAAGAUGUACACGUUUGGUUGCAGACUAAAUGUUUAGUGUAUGUUGUAUUUGACUGGAAACAUAUAUAUAUAUACAUUGAUGUGUGAAUUGAUGUGGAUUGCCGAAAGUAUACAUGUGAAUGACUGAAAUUAUGCUUAUGUGUACAUGAUGAUAUUAAUAGAUUGUGAUGUAUAAAGAUUUGGAUGUGAACUAGUGAAUUUGUUUCGGUUGGAUGUGGAUUAUACUGAACUGUGGUUUGCGAUGGUAAAAAUGAGGGGUGUUGUGACUUUGUGGUUUACUUGACGGAUGUAUUAAAAUGUUAUCAACGACCUUCGAACUUAAGUGAGAUAGGUUGACUGUUAGAAUGUUGAGUGAAAGAACUUUAUAUUUUGAAGUAACUGAAAGAUGUCAUAAAUUACCGUAAAGAUGGUUAGAAUGGA